rnacentral:rRNA from 1 species
AGUGAACGCUGGCGGUAGGCCUAACACAUGCAAGUCGAACGGCAGCACAGGAGAGCUUGCUCUCUGGGUGGCGAGUGGCGGACGGGUGAGGAAUACAUCGGAAUCUACUCUGUCGUGGGGGAUAACGUAGGGAAACUUACGCUAAUACCGCAUACGACCUACGGGUGAAAGCAGGGGAUCUUCGGACCUUGCGCGAUUGAAUGAGCCGAUGUCGGAUUAGCUAGUUGGCGGGGUAAAGGCCCACCAAGGCGACGAUCCGUAGCUGGUCUGAGAGGAUGAUCAGCCACACUGGAACUGAGACACGGUCCAGACUCCUACGGGAGGCAGCAGUGGGGAAUAUUGGACAAUGGGCGCAAGCCUGAUCCAGCCAUACCGCGUGGGUGAAGAAGGCCUUCGGGUUGUAAAGCCCUUUUGUUGGGAAAGAAGUCCAGCCGGCUAAUACCCGGUUGGGAUGACGGUACCCAAAGAAUAAGCACCGGCUAACUUCGUGCCAGCCGCCGCCGUAA